rnacentral:rRNA from 1 species
GGGUUGUGAGGUUAAGCGAAUAAGCGUACACGGUGGAUGCCUAGGCAGUCAGAGGCGAUGAAGGACGCGCUAAUCUGCGAAAAGCGUCGGUAAGCUGAUAUGAAGCGCCAUAACCGGCGAUG